rnacentral:rRNA from 1 species
ACUACGGGAGGCAGCAGUGAGGAAUUUUGGUCAAUGGGCGCGAGCCUGAACCAGCCAAGUCGCGUGAGGGAAGACGGUCCUAUGGAUUGUAGACCUCUUUUGUAGGGGAGCAAAAGACGCCACGCGUGGCGUUCCGAGAGUACCCGAAGAAAACACAUCGGCUAACUCCGUGUCAGCAGCCGCGGUAAUCCGGGGGCUGCGAGCGUUAUCCGGUUUUAUGAGGUUUAAAGGGUCAGCGGGCGGAAGAUCAAGUCAGCGGUAAAAGUGAGCGGCUCAACCUCUUCGCGCCGUUGAAAAUGGGUUUCUUGAGUGAGUGAGAAGUAUGCGGAAUGCGUGGUGUAGCGGUGAAAUGCAUAGAUAUCACGCAGAACUCCGAUUGCGAAGGCAGCAUACCGGCGCUCAACUGACGCUCAUGCACGAAAGUGUGGGUAUCGAACAGGAUUAGAUACCCGGGUAGUC